UUUUUUUAUUUGCAAUUUUGCCUGGCUGUGGAGGAUGGAAGUCGACAUAUAUAGGAGUAUCCCUAACAAUAAGUAGUAGUGCUAUUCCUUUACCCUUUUUUGUUAUAGCAAUGUAGUGGGAGCUAUAAGCUUCACGUGUUUUAACUUUGUCAGAGCACUUUGAAAAAGUGGUAUGUGGUAUCUGGAAAGCUAAUGUUGCGUGUGAAGAUUGCAGACAAACUUUAUCCGAGGAAAUCUGGCUCUCGAAGUUCGGAGAGCGGUGCCUUUUCG
rnacentral:lncRNA from 1 species